rnacentral:rRNA from 1 species
CCUACGGGCGGCUGCAGUGGGGAAUAUUGGACAAUGGGGGGAACCCUGAUCCAGCCAUGCCGCGUGUGUGAAGAAGGCCCUCGGGUUGUAAAGCACUUUCAGUGAGGAAGAACGCCUGGUGGUUAAUACCCAUCAGGAAAGACAUCACUCACAGAAGAAGCACCGGCUAACUCCGUGCCAGCAGCCGCGGUAAUACGGAGGGUGCGAGCGUUAAUCGGAAUUACUGGGCGUAAAGCGCGCGUAGGUGGCUUGAUAAGCCGGUUGUGAAAGCCCCGGGCUCAACCUGGGAACGGCAUCCGGAACUGUCAAGCUAGAGUGCAGGAGAGGAAGGUAGAAUUCCCGGUGUAGCGGUGAAAUGCGUAGAGAUCGGGAGGAAUACCAGUGGCGAAGGCGGCCUUCUGGACUGACACUGACACUGAGGUGCGAAAGCGUGGGUAGCAAACAGGAUUAGAUACCCAGUAGUC